rnacentral:rRNA from 1 species
GCUUGCUUCUCUUGAGAGCGGCGGACGGGUGAGUAAUGCCUAGGAAUCUGCCUGCUAGUGGGGGAUAACGUUCGGAAACGGACGCUAAUACCGCAUACGUCCUACGGGAGAAAGCAGGGGACCUUCGGGCCUUGCGCUAUCAGAUGAGCCUAGGUCGGAUUAGCUAGUUGGUGAGGUAAUGGCUCACCAAGGCGACGAUCCGUAACUGGUCUGAGAGGAUGAUCAGUCACACUGGAACUGAGACACGGUCCAGACUCCUACGGGAGGCAGCAGUGGGGAAUAUUGGACAAUGGGCGAAAGCCUGAUCCAGCCAUGCCGCGUGUGUGAAGAAGGUCUUCGGAUUGUAAAGCACUUUAAGUUGGGAGGAAGGGCAUUAACCUAAUACGUUAGUGUUUUGACGUUACCGACAGAAUAAGCACCGGCUAACUCUGUGCCAGCAGCCGCGGUAAUACAGAGGGUGCAAGCGUUAAUCGGAAUUACUGGGCGUAAAGCGCGCGUAGGUGGUUUGUUAAGUUGGAUGUGAAAUCCCCGGGCUCAACCUGGGAACUGCAUUCAAAACUGACUGACUAGAGUAUGGUAGAGGGUGGUGGAAUUUCCUGUGUAGCGGUGAAAUGCGUAGAUAUAGGAAGGAACACCAGUGGCGAAGGCGACCACCUGGACUAAUACUGACACUGAGGUGCGAAAGCGUGGGGAGCAAACAGGAUUAGAUACCCUGGUAGUCCACGCCGUAAACGAUGUCAACUAGCCGUUGGAAGCCUUGAGCUUUUAGUGGCGCAGCUAACGCAUUAAGUUGACCGCCUGGGGAGUACGGCCGCAAGGUUAAAACUCAAAUGAAUUGAC